rnacentral:misc_RNA from 1 species
GUUUACUUUACGGUCUAUGAGCAAUUUAAAAGCUUGCUUUCUUCCGAUGAUGGGAACCAUCAGCUUUCUGUGGGUGCCAAUAUGAUAGCUGCAUCUGGUGCUGGAGCUGCAACAACAAUAGCGACCAAUCCUCUAUGGGUUGUCAAGACAAGGUUUCAAACUCAAGGAAUGAGAACUGGGGUGGUGCCAUACCGAGGCACUCUGUCGGCCCUAAGGAGAAUAGCCCAUGAAGAAGGCAUUCGGGGACUCUACAGUGGUCUUGUGCCUGCUUUGGCGGGUAUCAGUCACGUAGCUAUUCAGUUCCCGACUUAUGAAACCGUAAAAAGCUACUUGGCUGAAAGAGAUAAUACAACCGUCGACUCACUUGGCGCUGCUGAUGUUGCUCUUGCAUCAUCUGUUUCCAAAAUAGCUGCAUCAACAUUAACAUACCCACAUGAGGUGGUUCGGUCGAGACUUCAAGAGCAAGGGUUCCAUUCAGAGAAACGGUAUACAGGUGUUGUGGAUUGCAUAAAGAAAGUGUUUCAAAA